rnacentral:misc_RNA from 1 species
AAGUCGUAACAAGGUUUCCGUAGGUGAACCUGCGGAAGGAUCAUUAUCGAGUUUUGAACGGGUUGUAGCUGGCCUUUAACGAGGCAUGUGCACACCUGGCUCAUCCACUCUCAACCUCUGUGCACUUUAUGUAAGAAACGGUGUAAGCCAGCUAUUUAUCAGUUGGUAACAAGCCUUUCUUAUGUUUACUACAAACGCUUCAGUUAUAGAAUGUUUACUGUGUAUAACACAAUUAUAUACAACUUUCAGCAACGGAUCUCUUGGCUCUC